rnacentral:rRNA from 1 species
CCUACGGGUGGCAGCAGUAGGGAAUAUUGGUCAAUGGGGGAAAGGCUGAAGCAGCAACGCCGCGUGGAGGAUGAAGGUGUUAGGAAUGGAAACUCCUUUUUGUAGAGAGAAAUAUGACGGUAUGUAACGAAUAAGCACCGGCUAACUCCGUGCCAUCAGCCGCGGUAAUACGGAGGGAGCAAGGGUUAUACGGAAUCACUGGGCGUAAAGAGGGCGUAGGGGGGGUAAUUAGUCAGAAGUGAAAGCCUGUAGCUUAACUACAGAACUGCAUUUGAAACUGUUACUCUGGAGUGUGGGAGAGGUAGGUGGAAUUCUUGGUGUAGGGGUCAAAUCCGUAGAGAUCAAGAGGAAUACUCAUUGCGAAGGCGACCUGCUGGAACAUUACUGACGCUGAUGCACGAAAGCGUGGGGAGCAAACAGGAUUAGAUACCCGAGUAGUC